rnacentral:tRNA from 1 species
GGGCAGCUAGCUCAGUGGUAGAGCGCGUCUCUGAUAAAGACGAGGUCAAUGGUUCGAUCCCAUUGCUGCCCA